CCCCGUUAAAAAGACAUUUAAACAAGCGAUUCUUCUUUUUUAACGUCCAGAGCCCCUAGAAUAUUGCCUUUAUGGAUACACUUCAGAGUUCAGCUAAAAGAUCAUAUUGCUUUAAAAUGGGCGUACUAAAACCAAGCACGCCUGGAGGAGAAUGUGUAAGCAGAAUUCUGUUUGCCACAGUGCCGGUAGGUCAGUGGGCGGUAUACGAUGCACCCAUCUUUCUAGGAGCAGUAGGAUUUCCUGCUGUUUUUUUCAGUAGUGACCUAGAAGGAGGUUAAUGAUUCCAAAGAAUGACUUUUCCCUUAGGGAAAAUUUAAUCUUCUGACCUUUUUCUCUAUCUGUCCAUUCCUUUUAAGUCACAGACCCCCUUCAUUUAGCUUACAUCAAGCUGUUUUAUUUUCUUCAAAAACAUGGUUGAAGUGAUUGCUUUUGCUUUCAUUUAACCCUUGAACUGGAUGCAUUUCCAAACUAAAUCAUUGCCCAGAAUAUGAAAUUGCUUGUAAGCAUUUCUUUCAGAUUUCUAUAUUUGUCUUAAAUGUGAUUGUCAACCCUCAAAAUCACUUUGACAACUGACUAACUUCGAAAAUGCAUGCCUUUAAUGUACUCUUGCAAUCAUCUCCGCGAGUUGCUUUACAAAAAGAACCUGACAGGAAUAAAGCAGCUAUCGGGGUUUUUUGUUUUUUUUUCUCUCAGAGUUCUAUCAAAAUGCUGAUGGAACCAGAGAACCAGAGAAGGAAAUUUUAUUUAAAGUAUGUUCAUCAAGACCAUCACGCCGUUCUUUGGAUUACAUUCGAGCUCAUAAAAAAUAUCAGCAUCGCGCAGUCGAACUCUUGGAGUGCUUUGUUUUGUUUGAACUGCGCAGACACUACUGAAUCAAAUUUGUUGUCAGAAUACCAUAAAACAAAAUCGCAAUUACGUUAUUAUUCUCCAAGGCGUUGACUCUCGGGUGCAAGGAGUUCUGGAGGGUAACUGGAAACAGAAAGUGCCUUGUGCUCAAAGCCGUCAACUUCCUUUUUGCUGCGCAGCAGACGUUGUUUUUGUCCGUAUUGUAUUACGCACGGUUAUUGCCAACAUAAGAAUUCAUGAAUAUUCCCGCAUUUUCAGAAUUAUAAUUAACGCUUGAUUUAGACACGAUGACAAACUCGUGCAGCACAGAAACCCAGCCCGGGAACAAAGGAAUCCCUGCACUGAGGCCAAGGCCCGUCCGGCCCCGCGCCCCCAACCUCGCACUGCGCCCGGUGCGGGAGGCAGCACCCUGUACCUCAUGGCAGCACUGGGGAAUUUCUUCCCGACCCCAGCUGGCCAUCAGCUCGUGCCUUGAAGUAUGAGGAUUGAUAGCCCUUGUAAUUUUUAUUCUAGCUGGUGCGGCUGCAGAUGCUGUACUUAAUCAAAUAAAUGUCUAAUACUUCAGUAAAGCUAAGUGAAGGCUAAAUACUCCUUUCUCUUGGGAAAAAUCCCGAGGAAAGAAAAAGUGCUGAGAAAUUCCACCAGGAGAGGCACAUGGAGUUCCCACUGCUUUUUCCCCUCUCAGGGGAUUGCAUCGGUGCCUGGGGAUAGAAGGGAUGUCGGGCAGCACAGGCCCAGCUCUGGCACAGGACCAGGCUCUGGACUGGCUGUGCUCUUCCCUCUCUGCCCCCGUCCUGCCCCAGAGAGAGAGACAAGAGAGAGAGUCUCUCUGCAGGAGAGACCCACAGCAGAACUUGUAUGGAUUUCUGUCAGAAAAAGGAAUGGUUUUAGAGGGGAAAACAUGUUGCAUAGGAUGGCUUGGGUCAUGGGUUUCUUGGAUCUUCCUCCACAAGCCACUGUGUGAAGGGACAGCCAGAGGGUCUGUGGGGAUGGGGAGACAUGGCAGAGUUACUCUUCCUCCUCUCUUAGCUUUUGUUUCCCGUUUCUAAUCUCUUUUUUUCCUCCUUUUUUUUUCCUACUAAAGCAUAGCAAUCGCCCCCAGAGCUGUUUUUCUCGAUCUUCUGUUGCAAAAAUAAAUUCCACGACUCAGCUAUAUAUUCUAACGAGAAAAAAAAAACCAAAACACAACAAAAAACACCUUCAUAUAUUCAUUUAAAUAUGUUUCCUGCUUAUUUUUUUUCUGAAAUGAAACAGAACAGACAGGAACAUCUGAGCUUUUCUGCAUCAACUGAAAUUUUAUGUGGUCCUAAAACUCCUCAUCCUCUUCAUGCUUCUAAAUUAAAUGAUUUCUUCUAAGUCUACCUCCUAACUUGGUCCCAUCUCCUGUUUCAUUAAUCAUGUUUACUGCAUUUCUCUGUGUUUCCUCACUUCGCUAUAACACAGUGACAAAAAUACGACAGGAUGUCCAGAAAUGCAACUUUUACUCAUGAAAUCACGCAGUAAUAUUUUAUGUUCAACCAUCUUUUUGGUUUUUAAUGUAUCUGAGUGUCUCAUCUGCUUUUGUAUGCUUUCUAAGCUACUGCAGUACGCUGGGUAGCUUUUUUUCAGUGAAUGAUGCUUAGAUUUUCCCGGGCUAAUUAAUUGCCAUCAGUUCUUGACAAUAUUUUCCGGCACAAACUCCUCGGCAAUAGUCUGUUUAAUUUUGACUGCCAUCAUAUUGCCAUUCUAUCUCAGUUCUCUAGCUUACUCUGGAAUUUCUUUAGGUUUUGCCGAAAUUCAGUUAACUCAAUAAAUGGCCAAGUGCUGUCAUGAAUUUUCCCAUUUAGAUCAAUGGGUGCCAGGUCUGAACAGCAGCAAGCAAGCUGUGGCUGUAGCAGUGAAAACAAAUGUUACCAUCCUCAUUCUGGAAGAUGUUUAAGGUGGUUAAUGAACACGUUGGACAAACCCAUCCUUAUGGCUACUAUUGAUCCCAGGGGCAAUUCGGAGUUAACCUCUCUGCUUGCAUGACUGCUGAUCCUUUCGCAGCUUGGGGAGCCGAGCACAACUCUGGAACCUGCUGCUCCGGAGCCGAAGCCCUGGCUCUGCCACAGCUGUCCCUUCGAUUCCAGCUCACUUGCGCCGGUCCUUGGUUCCGUCAGAACUCUCGGAUGAAUACCAUCUGGCCCGGCUGAUUGACUGCAGUGUAAUUUCU
ensembl:lncRNA